ACCUCCAGUUUCGGAAAUGAUACCAGCGGGAAAGAGCGACCCCUAAGACAAACCUAGUAAUCUUGACAAAAAAGAAAGGUUUAACUGAAUUAGGUUGUCAAUUUAAGAAUCAUUUAAAAAGUUGUAAUCUAUAUUUUGUACUAAUUACAAAAGACACUUGAUGACGUGUCACUUAAUUAUGAUGUCAAUUUGGCAGCAUAAGAAUCAAUUGAAUAAUUUGUAGGUCUAAAAUCUAAUUGCUAAAGAACAUUAUAUUAACCAAAAAUAUAAGAAGCGUAUAUUCUUUCUUUAAACAAAAGCUACGGUGUUACCUAAUAUAAUUAACAUAUAUAUAACAACUAAUGAUAUGAAUAAUAAAAAUUUGAUAACAAUUUUUGUACUCUUUUUUUCUUUAAUUUUAUAUUAUUAAAAGAAAUUAAACAAUCACAUUAACCAUAUAAUAAAAAAAUUUAGAAAUUUUCUUAUAUGUUAUAUCUUGAAUUUUUAAAACGACUUUAAAUUAAAAAACAUAUUAAAAAUCCCGUUGAAAAUUUGUGAUCAAUGGCUUAAUUUUAUGUUAUGUGUUUUAACUUUUAACAAAGAAAUACCGCAUAUCGUAGCUUUAGUCACUGAAUAACCCAAAAAAACUUUGGUCUUGUGCCAAAAAGGCAUUGGUCGUUUCUUAAUAAAGUAAUUAACUCUCGCUAUGUUGUGGGCAUGUUUAUUAUGUUAAUCUCUCUCUAAACACUACAAAAAGUCUACAUUGAUAGCACAUUAUUAUAGCACGUUUUACUGAACUGCUAUCGUAGAUGAUUUAGAAAUUUCUGUAUUAUAUAAUAGCAUUAGAUAAACGCUAUGAUAGAGAAAAACAUAAAAUAUCACUUAAUUAAUGCUAUUUUAAGAAUUACGUGAGCGGAAAAAAUAAAAUCACCGGUUUCACCAAUACUUAGCGGGAAUUUAGAUUUAAGCGCCAAAAAUAUUAUUUAAGCGGCUUAAUAAAACUACGAAAGACUUAUAAUAGCAUUUUUAUAAUGCUAAGAAAAGCUAUUUGAACCCCUAAACCUUAAACAUGGUUUUAAACCCUAAACACUAAACACAAUCCUUAAAACUCUAAUCUUUUUAUAUUAUAACUUCAAUUCUUAAAAUUAAACUUAAAAUUUAAUCUUCUUGAUCUUAAACUAUAAUUUCCUAACCACAUAUCCUUAAUCUUUAAUCAAUCUAUAUAUCCUAAAUCAUAACUUCAAACAUAAAUUAUACAUUCUCUGUAAACAUACAAACUUUUUAAAUGAUGACCAAAAUAAUAAUCUUGAUAUUAAUCUAAUAUUUCCAAACUUAAAUAUUAAUUAUUAAAAUAAAUAUCAAUUUAUUAUGUUCAAAAAUAACUUUAAACUUAAAUUCCAAAGUACAAAAUAUAAAUUUUGAAAUAAGAUAUAAGUAAGAAAAAUUAUUUACAAAACAAAUCAUCAAAGAUUGAAGGACAAAAAAAAGACAAUUUAUAAAGAGUAUUUUUUUGCUACCAUUUAGCAACGAAACUUUUUGUAGGUCUUUAUAAAAUAGCCACGAAAUGCCACGGUUUAUUUGUACAUGCUUAAAACUCUAAACCCUAAAAUUCUUUUAAAUCCUAAAUCCUAAAUAUAAACCUUAAAACUCUAUUCUUUUUCAUAAUUUAACCUAAAUCUUAAAUUUAAAUUAAUAAUUUAAUUUCAAAUCAUAAUUUAAACCCCAAAUACUAUAUUCCAACCCCUAAACUAUAAACAUAAACACUAUACCCCAAAUCAUAAAUCUAAACAUAAAAUCUUAUAUUUUAAAAUUUAAAAUAUUAAACUUUACUUUUAGAUCUUAUCUUCAACCCAAAUCCCCUUACUCAAAACUUUAGAUUCCAUAUACACUAAACUUUACUAUACAUACAAUACUCUAAAUAUAAACUUCAAAACUUAAAUUUUGAAAAUUUAACUACAAAUCUUAGACCUAAUAUUCAAAUCUAAUAUUGUCAUACUCUGAUCCAAAAUAUUAAAUAAUAGUCUUGAUAUUAAUCAAAUAUUUUCAAACUUAAACAUCAAUUCUUAAAAUAAAUAUAAACUUAUUAUGUUCAAAAAAGAAAACUCUAAACUUAAAUUAUAAACUCGAAAAUACAAAAUUUUAUAUAAGAUAUAACUAAGAAAAAUUACUUAGAAAACAAAUUAUCAAUUAUUUAAGGACAAAACAAAAAUAAAAAUAGAAAAAGAAAGACAAAAUUUCUGGCCAAUCAGAUUCAAAUACAUAAAUCACACUCUUAACCAUUGGAUUAACUUAGAUCUAAAGGUAGAGAUUUAUUCAAUUUAAUUUUUAUUUUUUUCUUCUCUCUCUCCCUUUCUCACGACAUAUCUCAUCUCAUCUCCUUCUCUGCUUUUUUUUUUCCGAUUCUCUCUUCUUCACUCUAAGUUCUCAUUCUCAUAUCUCUCUUCUCUCUCAUCUCUCUCAACGCCUCUCUCAUCUCUCCCAUCUCUCUCAACGCCUCUCUCGUCUCACCACCACCGCGUCUCCUCCUCGUCUCACCACCACCGUUUUCCCCCUUGUCUCACCACCACCACGGUCGACAUAGGUGGAGGAGCCAAGGUUCAUGGCGGCUGGAGGAGCCAAGGUUCAUGGCGGCUUGAGGAUGCAAGUCUCGUGGCGGCUGGAGGAGCCAAAGUUCAUGGCUGCUGGAAGAGGGACAAGGCUAUGGAGGAGGCGGCAUGAGUUUUUUCUUUAGGUUUAGGUUUUUUAGGUCUGGUUAAGUGUAAACCGAGUUAGGAAAAUUGUAGUGGUCUGAUUUUAUUUUUUAAUUUGUGGUUUAGUUUUGUAAACCAGAAUUAAUCUGUAAACCAAAUUUAAUUUAUUAAUAAAAUUUAUUUUAUUUUCA